rnacentral:rRNA from 1 species
GUACACUCCUGCGGGAGGCAGCAGUGGGGAAUUUUGGACAAUGGGCGCAAGCCUGAUCCAGCCAUGCCGCGUGCGGGAAGAAGGCCUUCGGGUUGUAAACCGCUUUUGUCAGGGAAGAAAAGGUUCUGGCUAAUACCUGGGACUCAUGACGGUACCUGAAGAAUAAGCACCGGCUAACUACGUGCCAGCAGCCGCGGUAAUACGUAGGGUGCAAGCGUUAAUCGGAAUUACUGGGCGUAAAGCGUGCGCAGGCGGUUAUGCAAGACAGAGGUGAAAUCCCCGGGCUCAACCUGGGAACUGCCUUUGUGACUGCAUGGCUAGAGUACGGUAGAGGGGGAUGGAAUUCCGCGUGUAGCAGUGAAAUGCGUAGAUAUGCGGAGGAACACCGAUGGCGAAGGCAAUCCCCUGGACCUGUACUGACGCUCAUGCACGAAAGCGUGGGGAGCAAACAGGAUUAGAUACCCCAGUAGUCCCAUGA